rnacentral:rRNA from 1 species
GACGAACGCUGGCGGCGUGCUUAACACAUGCAAGUCGAACGGAAAGGCCCUGCUUUUGUGGGGUGCUCGAGUGGCGAACGGGUGAGUAACACGUGAGUAACCUGCCCUUGACUUUGGGAUAACUUCAGGAAACUGGGGCUAAUACCGGAUAGGAGCUCCUGCUGCAUGGUGGGGGUUGGAAAGUUUCGGCGGUUGGGGAUGGACUCGCGGCUUAUCAGCUUGUUGGUGGGGUAGUGGCUUACCAAGGCUUUGACGGGUAGCCGGCCUGAGAGGGUGACCGGCCACAUUGGGACUGAGAUACGGCCCAGACUCCUACGGGAGGCAGCAGUGGGGAAUAUUGCACAAUGGGCGGAAGCCUGAUGCAGCAACGCCGCGUGCGGGAUGACGGCCUUCGGGUUGUAAACCGCUUUCGCCUGUGACGAAGCGUGAGUGACGGUAAUGGGUAAAGAAGCACCGGCUAACUACGUGCCAGCAGCCGCGGUGAUACGUAGGGUGCGAGCGUUGUCCGGAUUUAUUGGGCGUAAAGGGCUCGUAGGUGGUUGAUCGCGUCGGAAGUGUAAUCUUGGGGCUUAACCCUGAGCGUGCUUUCGAUACGGGUUGACUUGAGGAAGGUAGGGGAGAAUGGAAUUCCUGGUGGAGCGGUGGAAUGCGCAGAUAUCAGGAGGAACACCAGUGGCGAAGACGGUUCUCUGGGCCUUUCCUGACGCUGAGGAGCGAAAGCGUGGGGAGCGAACAGGCUUAGAUACCCUGGUAGUCCACGCUGUAAACGGUGGGUACUAGGUGUGGGGUCCAUUCCACGGGUUCCGUGCCGUAGCUAACGCUUUAAGUACCCCGCCUGGGGAGUACGGCCGCAAGGCUAAAACUCAAAGGAAUUGACGGGGCCCCGCACAAGCGGCGGAGCAUGCGGAUUAAUUCGAUGCAACGCGUAGAACCUUACCUGGGUUUGACAUGGAUCGGGAGUGCUCAGAGAUGGGUGUGCCUCUUUUGGGGUCGGUUCACAGGUGGUGCAUGGCUGUCGUCAGCUCGUGUCGUGAGAUGUUGGGUUAAGUCCCGCAACGAGCGCAACCCUUGUUCACUGUUGCCAGCACGUUAUGGUGGGGACUCAGUGGAGACCGCCGGGGUCAACUCGGAGGAAGGUGGGGAUGACGUCAAGUCAUCAUGCCCCUUAUGUCCAGGGCUUCACGCAUGCUACAAUGGCUGGUACAGAGAGUGGCGAGCCUGUGAGGGUGUGCGAAUCUCGGAAAGCCGGUCUCAGUUCGGAUUGGGGUCUGCAACUCGACCUCAUGAAGUCGGAGUCGCUAGUAAUCGCAGAUCAGCAACGCUGCGGUGAAUACGUUCCCGGG